CCAUCCCAGAAUUUCUCCAGGCUAAGCACGCUUAACCAUGGAGUUCUUAAGGGUUAGGCUACCGAAAAGUAAAUGCAUUUUGGUGAUAUGGGUAGCCAAAUCAAUUCCUUUAAGCUAUCUUUCAACUGUAUAGUCCCAUACCUAUACAGUCUCCAGAUCCCUCUCAUUCCGGUGUAUGUUCGAUUCGUCCAUGUGCCCCUUCCACUCGAAGCCUGCCAGGAGCCGCUCCUUGUCCGUGCCCCCUGCACCAUGCCUCUUGCACCGGCGAUCACUCCCCGCCCUCGUCAGUGCCCGGGUGUCACAUGCCCACCAGCUUCCGUCUGGUUCGUCCUCGAACCACACCGUACUGGGAGAGGCUAGGCUCUGAUACCAUUUGUAACGCCCUGGCAACUUACAGGGACUGUUNACUGCCCCCACAAAUCACCACGAGACUUUCCAGUGUGCUUUGUCCUCACUCGCACACUUUCCCGGAAAACUUCCCGGAAGGUCACCCAUCCCAGAAUUUCUCCAGGCUAAGCACGCUUAACCAUGGAGUUCUUAAGGGUUAGGCUACCGAAAAGUAAAUGCAUUUUGGUGAUAUGGGUAGCCAAAUCAAUUCCUUUAAGCUAUCUUUCAACUGUAUAGUCCCAUACCUAUACAGUCUCCAGAUCCCUCUCAUUCCGGUGUAUGUUCGAUUCGUCCAUGUGCCCCUUCCACUCGAAGCCUGCCAGGAGCCGCUCCUUGUCCGUGCCCCCUGCACCAUGCCUCUUGCACCGGCGAUCACUCCCCGCCCUCGUCAGUGCCCGGGUGUCACAUUUAACAUCAAGAUUGAUACAAAAACAUGUUUAUAGAUGAAAAUGUAGUAUCAUAUCAUUUGGUUAGAAACACGAUGCACUAAACCAACUCAAGCACUCAAAAAUCACCAUAACAAAUUCUACACUUUAUAGCUCAAAAAUUAACAAACUAAGAGUCUAAAAAAGUCAUA
rnacentral:lncRNA from 1 species